UUGUCACAAAUUGCCCGUAAAAUGUAUGCUAUAACAGAAAGAAACAUAGAGUUCGUUUGAAGUGGAUCGCAUUUAACGCCACUUUUUGGCGGCAGAGUAAAUAUUUGAAAGAAUUCGGGGAAAAGUAAGGGCAGAACAAAUGAAGUAGACAUGAGGAAGGUGAGAGACUGUUUUUU
ensembl:ncRNA T26H10.6 ncRNA